ACCAACUGCCCAGAACCGAGCAGGUAGAGAGCAGCUGCUGGUGCCGCGGGUGGAACAUUUAGUGAAGAGAGGCCAAUCACUGCUGCUGCAUCUGUCACAUCUCACAUUCUAUGGGCAGUUAAUGGAACUGUGCCACUUGGGGUUUCUAUAGCAGCUGGAGGUUCAACUGAAACUGCUGAGAGAAGCCCAGAACUCUAAAUAGGAAAAGCCUUUUCUCCACUGGAACAAUGUAGAGCGACAUGUAUCUGCUUUAUGACCUUUUGCUUCCUUUGCCAACUCUACGGUGUAUGUCUGUAGUUAUAAGUGCUAUUCCUCCCUAACUUAGUUAAAAUACUCAGCAACAUAGCAGUCCCAUUUUAUAGUAGUACUUGCUAUCACUUUAUUUGAACUGAGUUUCAAGGUCUCUCUGGACUGGUUGCAGUGGAUUCAGAUCACCUGUGUGCAGGUGUGGAGACUGACUCCUAAUUAAUGAGGGAGUCAAAAGUCAAAGUCAAGUCAAUUCAGUCAUUUUACACAGGUGCUUUUGUGACAUGUAUGUUUUGAGAAAAGGGCUUUUAUUACAGUUUUUCUCAGUCA